rnacentral:rRNA from 1 species
AUUGAACGCUGGCGGCAUGAUUUACACAUGCAAGUCGAACGGUAACAGGCCGCAAGGUGCUGACGAGUGGCGAACGGGGGAGUAAUGCAUCGGAACGUGCCCAGGCGUGGGGGAUAACUACUCGAAAGAGUAGCUAAUACCGCAUACGAUCUAUGGAUGAAAGCGGGGGACCGUAAGGCCUCGCGCGAUUGGAGCGGCCGAUGUCAGAUUAGGUAGUUGGUGGGGUAAAGGCUCACCAAGCCAACGAUCUGUAGCUGGUCUGAGAGGACGACCAGCCACACUGGGACUGAGACACGGCCCAGACUCCUACGGGAGGCAGCAGUGGGGAAUUUUGGACAAUGGGCGCAAGCCUGAUCCAGCAAUGCCGCGUGCAGGAAGAAGGCCUUCGGGUUGUAAACUGCUUUUGUACGGAACGAAACGGCUCUGGUUAAUACCCGGGGCUAAUGACGGUACCGUAAGAAUAAGCACCGGCUAACUACGUG